GGGGUGGUGGCGCAGUUGGCUAGCGCGUAGGUCUCAUAAUCCUGAGGUCGAGAGUUCGAGCCUCUCACCCCA
rnacentral:tRNA from 1 species